AAUGGAGAUAACUGUAGUACCAAUUUUGAGGGUUCUAAUGAAGCUCACCAGAAAAAUGAAGUAUAUUCACCUGUAAAUGAAGUACCAUAUUAGCAUCAACUUUUAUCAAUAAUUGAUUAUGGAUUUCCCAAAGGUACAGAUAAAAGACAAGAAUUUCUACUGUCUCUUUAAAUGUUUGGCGGUUGGAACAAGAAUUUCAGUUAUAAGGAACUCAAAAGAGACAGUCAUUUUUGUUGCUCUUGGUGGUGGAAGGUUGUUUUGUUUUGGAUUUUUUUGGUUAAGUGUAAUCAUCCUGCUAGCAGAGACAGCAUAUGGUUUACUGUUGCUAUAUUGUGCACAUUUUAUACUACCAAUUUCAAUGACACUUCCAUUCUUAUUUUCAGUGAGCAAAAAAUAAAAAAUAAAGCCUUUGAUACAGAGCUGCAUAGUCUGGCAAAAAGAAUUUACAUAAUAAGCAUAUCUGAAAGAGUGUGUCUGUACUUUCAAUUCAUCACCUCUCAUCCAGGAGAUGAGGAAACUGAAGCACAAAGAGGUUAAAUUACUUGUCCAAAGUGACACAAGUAGUAAGUAACAGAGCUUAGAUUUGAACCAGGAUUUUACAAUUCCAAAAUCCAGGUCAAAAUACUUUUAUAACAUACCUUGAAAGGUGCUACAUAAUUUGUCACUGUCAUCACUGCUGUAUUUAUGGUCUAGAUACUACUUAACUUUGAAGACAGUUAAACCAUUCAAAUUUAGUUUGAUUUCCCCUAGCCUCCAAGAAUGGAUUGCUAUCACAUCAAGAAAUAAUCUCCAACAAUGAUACAAGUGACUGCAAAUAGAAAUUUGGGGUGGAAACCUCUUUUCCUUUUCCAAUAGAGACAUGUUAACUACUGCAAAUGAGAUUCUAUCCAUUGCUGAGAGAUGGAAUUCUUCUGGAUGGCAACGGUUGCUAUAGCUAUGCUACAGUGUCACUUGUGUUACAACCCCAGAUUUGCAUUUUGGCCAUAACUUUCUAGAAAAUUUUGCUUCUACCAUUGAAACCUAUUCACAGUCAGCUCAGAGGUGUAAUUAAAAAAAACUAAUGCUA